CCUACGGGAGGCAGCAGUAAGGAAUAUUGGUCAAUGGACGAAAGUCUGAACCAGCCAUGCCGCGUGAAGGAUGAAGGCCCUCUGGGUUGUAAACUUCUUUUAUCUGGGACGAAAAAGCUCAUUCUUGAGCACUUGACGGUACCAGAGGAAUAAGCACCGGCUAACUCCGUGCCAGCAGCCGCGGUAAUACGGAGGGUGCAAGCGUUAUCCGGAUUCACUGGGUUUAAAGGGUGCGUAGGUGGGUCUGUAAGUCAGUGGUGAAAUCUCCGGGCUUAACUCGGAAACUGCCAUUGAUACUAUAGGUCUUGAAUCAUCUGGAGGUAAGCGGAAUAUGUCAUGUAGCGGUGAAAUGCUUAGAUAUGACAUAGAACACCAAUUGCGAAGGCAGCUUACUACGGGUGUAUUGACACUGAGGCACGAAAGCGUGGGGAUCAAACAGGAUUAGAUACCCUGGUAGUCCACGCCCUAAACGAUGGAUACUCGACAUCAGCGAUACACUGUUGUUGUGUGAGAGAAGACAUAAGUA
rnacentral:rRNA from 1 species